UACGGAGGGUGCAAGCGUUAUUCGGAAUCACUGGGCGUAAAGAGCGCGUAGGCGGUUUCUUAAGUCAGAUGUGAAAGCCCGGGGCUUAACCCCGGAAGUGCAUUUGAAACUAAGGGACUUGAGUAUGGGAGAGGGAAGUGGAAUUCCUGGUGUAGCGGUGAAAUGCGUAGAUAUCAGGAGGAACACCGGUGGCGAUGGCGACUUCCUGGACCAAUACUGACGCUGAGGCGCGAAGGCGUGGGGAGCAAACAGG
rnacentral:rRNA from 1 species